AAGAAUGAAUCUCCUAGGGUCGUAACGUCUCGUGACCCUGCCGUUGCACUAUGCCGGCAAACCAACCUCCCUUAUACCUAACAUUUCUAUUGCUAAUCCUUCUCUAUCUAAUCAUAACUCUGUAUGUCUGGACUAUAUUGACCAUUAACCAUAAGACGGCGGUUCGAUAUGCAGCACUGUACCAGCGAUCCUGCUCUCGCUGGGGUUUUGAUCAAUCACUCUAGAAAGAUCCCCAGUUAGGACAAGUCCCGAUCCGUCACGCUAGAACAAGCUGCAUUUAAAUGAAGCUGUGCUACCAUGAGACAUAAAGAAAAAA
rnacentral:misc_RNA from 1 species